UGGGAUAUAGCCAAAUGGUAAGGCACUGGACUCUGACUCCAGCAUUUACAGGUUCGAGCCCUGUUAUCCCAGCUA
rnacentral:tRNA from 4 species